rnacentral:rRNA from 1 species
AUGAACGCCGGCGGUGUGCCUAAUACAUGCAAGUCGUACGCACUAGGCCCAACUGAUUGAUGGUGCUUGCACCUGGUUGACGAUGGAUCACCAGUGAGUGGCGGACGGGUGAGUAACACGUAGGUAACCCUGCCCCCGGAGCGGGGGAUAACAUUUGGAAACAGAUGCUAAUACCGCAUAACAACAAAAGCCACAUGGCUUUUGUUUGAAAGAUGGCUUUGGCUAUCACUCUGGGAUGGGCCCGCGGCGCAUUAGCUAGUUGGUGGGGUAACGGCCUACCAAGGCGACGAUGCGUAGCCGACCUGAGAGGGUGAUCGGCCACAUUGGGACUGAGACACGGCCCAGACUCCUACGGGAGGCAGCAGUGGGGAAUAUUGCACAAUGGGGGAAACCCUGAUGCAGCAACGCCGCGUGAGUGAUGACGGUCUUCGGAUUGUAAAACUCUGUCUUUAGGGACGAUAAUGACGGUACCUAAGGAGGAAGCCACGGCUAACUACGUG